AUGCCCUGGAUGUGCAUGAACCAAAUACUUUGCCGCCAUCAACCAAGAUUUGUUCGAAUAGGGUGGCGUUAUGGUGGUUAGGUUAGUUAGAGAUUUUGUUAGAGGUUGAAGGAGGUUAGGUUGGUUCAGAAUUGGUUUUUCGAAGGAGGUUGCAAGUUCUGUUUUGUUUUUCCAUUGGAGGGAACUGUGAGGUUCUUUAAAGGGUGAUUCCAAUGAAGGGUGAUUGGAGUUUUUCGGAGUGUGGAAUCUACUAGGUUAUUAUCAGUUUCUGGAAGUUGUUAGCAGGGUGGUUAGAGAGGUUCUCCCUUAUGGAGGUUAGGCUAGAGUUGUUAUGGAAGGUGGUUCAGUGGGAAAGAAAAAUCUGUUAGAAGGUUGGAGGGUUUUUUAUUCUACAGAGUGGUUAUUUGCUGUUAGUAGUUGUGGAGAGAACAUCCAGAAGUUCUGUUAUGUAUUGUUAUGGAAGGUUCCAAGGGUUUGAAGAAGUUGGAGCCAUGAGUUCUCAGUUAUGCAGGAAGUUAGACAUUCUAUUAUGAGUUCUUGGAAUGGUUUCAUUUAGUUGGUUUUUUGAGGGAGGUUUUGAGAGAGAUUGAAGAGAGUUUUCACUCAUUUCUGUUAGAAUGUUUAUGACAGUUAGAGGGAAUUUAUUGGUUCAGUUUGUAACAGUGAAUCAAAUGGCAAUGAAGUAGCUAAUGAGUUGUUCAGAAUUUCCUAAUCCCCUCUCCCAAUUGCUGUUAUGAUUCUGUUUCCAUUCCAUUUUUCCUUUGGUUUGGUUUUGACUCACUUUUCCAUCUAAUUUGCAGAUUGAAUUUUGUCCUUGUAACAAAAUGAUGCAGGGUUGUGCGUUUUGUGAAGGCUUCCAAUUUAGUGUGUUCUACAAGCUUGCAAGCGGACACUUGGCUUGGAGUUCUUCGGAUCAUUGCAUUGGCUUGUUCGGAAUUUUGCUCAUGUUGUAUUGUUGUAAUGUAUUGGAAACUUGAUUGGAAUUGGAAAUAACGUGAAUGUAAUUGGAAUAUGAUUUGAAAAUGUAAGGAUUUGUGAUUGAGAUAUUGGCUUGUAAUGUGUAAUGUACAUGGUUUGAAAGUGUUCGUAAUUUGAAAUUGGCUUAUUUGCACAUGAAAGUAUUGUAGAAUGUGGUUUGAAAAUAUGUAUGAACUUGAUUUAAAAAUGGAUUCUAAGAAAUUGCCUUGGAA
rnacentral:lncRNA from 1 species